GACGAACGCUGGCGGCGUGCUUAACACAUGCAAGUCGAACGGGCCCGCCCCUGUUUUUGGGGGUGGGUUGAGUGGCGAACGGGUGAGUAUCACGUGAGUAACCUGCCCCCUGCUCCUGGAUAACUGCUUGAAAGGGCGGCUAAUACGGGGUGUGCCGGCUGGUCCGCAUGGGCCUGGUCGGGAUAGUUUCAUCUUCGGGUGUUUCGGUGGGGGAUGGGCUCGCGGCCUAUCAGCUUGUUGGUGGGGUGAUGGCCCACCAAGGCGGUGACGGGUAGCCGGCCUGGGAGGGUGGGCGGCCACACUGGGACUGAGACACGGCCCAGACUCCUGCGGGAGGCAGCAGUGGGGGGUAUUGCGCAAUGGGCGGAAGCCUGAUGCAGCGACGUCGCGUGAGGGAUGGAGGCCUUCGGGUUGUGAACCUCUUUCUCCGGUGGUGAAGGCCCUGUCCGUUGCGGCGGGGUUGACGGUAGCCGGGUAUGAAGCGCCGGCUAACUACGUG
rnacentral:rRNA from 1 species